rnacentral:rRNA from 1 species
GUGGGGAAUUUUGGACAAUGGGCGCAAGCCUGAUCCAGCAAUGCCGCGUGCAGGAAGAAGGCCUUCGGGUUGUAAACUGCUUUUGUACGGAACGAAACGGUCCGGGUUAAUACCCUGGGCUAAUGACGGUACCGUAAGAAUAAGCACCGGCUAACUACGUGCCAGCAGCCGCGGUAAUACGUAGGGUGCAAGCGUUAAUCGGAAUUACUGGGCGUAAAGCGUUCGCAGGCGGUUUUGUAAGACAGGCGUGAAAUCCCCGGGCUCAACCUGGGAAUUGCGCUUGUGACUGCAAGGCUGGAGUGCGGCAGAGGGGGAUGGAAUUCCGCGUGUAGCAGUGAAAUGCGUAGAUAUGCGGAGGAACACCGAUGGCGAAGGCAAUCCCCUGGGCCUGCACUGACGCUCAUGCACGAAAGCGUGGGGAGCAAACAGGAUUAGAAACCCCGGUAGUCC